rnacentral:rRNA from 1 species
AGUGAGCGCUGGCGGUAGGCCUAACACAUGCAAGUCGAACGGCAGCACAGUAAGAGCUUGCUCUUACGGGUGGCGAGUGGCGGACGGGUGAGGAAUACAUCGGAAUCUACUUUUUCGUGGGGGAUAACGUAGGGAAACUUACGCUAAUACCGCAUACGACCUACGGGUGAAAGCAGGGGAUCUUCGGACCUUGCGCGAUUGAAUGAGCCGAUGUCGGAUUAGCUAGUUGGCGGGGUAAAGGCCCACCAAGGCGACGAUCCGUAGCUGGUCUGAGAGGAUGAUCAGCCACACUGGAACUGAGACACGGUCCAGACUCCUACGGGAGGCAGCAGUGGGGUAUAUUGGACAAUGGGCGCAAGCCUGAUCCAGCCAUACCGCGUGGGUGAAGAAGGCCUUCGGGUUGUAAAGCCCUUUUGUUGGGAAAGAAAAGCAGCAGGUUAAUACCCCGCUGUUCUGACGGUACCCAAAGAAUAAGCACCGGCUAACUUCGUG